rnacentral:rRNA from 1 species
AGGUUAACCCGUUUGUGGGGUAGUCGUAGCGAAAGCGAAUCCGAAUAGGGUGUUUAAGUGGCAUGUCCUGGACCCGAAGCGGGGUGAUCUACCCAUGGCCAGUGUGAAGCAGCUGUAAGAGGUUGUGGAGGCGCGAACCCACUUAGGUUGAAAACUGAGGGGAUGAGCUGUGGGUAGGGGUGAAAGGCCAAUCAAACUCCGUGAUAGCUGGUUCUCCCCGAAAUGCAUUUAGGUGCAGCGUGAUGUGAGCUUGCCGGAGGUAGAGCUACUGGUUGGUUGAGCGGGACUAUCAUCUUAGCGACGUCAGCCAAACUCCGAAUACCGGUUUAUAGUGGUGCAUUGCAGUGAGACUGUGGGGGAUAAGCUUCAUAGUCGAGAGGGAAACAGCCCAGAUCGCCGGUUAAGGCCCCUAAGGGUGUGCUAAGUGGAAAAGGAUGUGGGAUCGCGAAGACAGCCAGGAGGUUGGCUUAGAAGCAGCCAUCCUUGAAAGAGUGCGUAAUAGCUCACUGGUCGAGUGGUUCCGCGCCGACAAUGUAGUGGGGCUCAAGCACACCGCCGAAGCCGCGGCAAACAUUUUUGUUUGGGUAGGGGAGCGUCGUGUGUGGGGUGAAGCCGUACCGGAAGGAGCGGUGGACUGCAUGCGAGUGAGAAUGCAGGCAUGAGUAACGAAUGGCAAGUGAGAAUCUUGCCCGCCGGAUGACUAAGGGUUCCUGGGUCAAGUUCGUCUUCCCAGGGUGAGUCGGGUCCUAAGGCGAGGCCGACAGGCGUAGUCGAUGGUUAACGGGUUGAUAUUCCCGUACCCGUAUAUGCGCGCCCAGUAUCGAAGCGGUGAUACUAACCACCCUGACCCGCUUGCCGUUGCCACUUUUCGAAGUGGUUGGUUGGUGGUGAUGCGUGGGGCCUGAUCCGUUGUAGGUCAGUGAUGGGGUGACGCAGUGAGGUAGCCGAGCCGCUGAUUGGAUUGCGGUGCAAGCGUGUGGCACGACACCACGGUAAAUCCUGGUGUUUUUUGUGUGAGGCGUGAUGCGUAGCCCUUGCUUGGGUGAUGUUGGUGAUCCUGGACUGCCGAGAAAAGCCUCUAGCGAUGUGCGUAUACGGCCCGUACCCAUAACCGACACAGGUGGUCAGGUAGAAAAUACUGAGGCGAGCGGGUGAACUGUGGUUAAGGAACUCGGCAAAAUGCCCCCGUAACUUCGGGAGAAGGGGGACCUGCACUAGUCAAGCAUUUUACGUGCGGCAGCUGGUGUGGGUCGCAGAGAAGAGAGGGGAGCGACUGUUUAUCAAAAACACAGGUCCGUGCGAAGACGGUUAAGUUGAUGUAUACGGACUGACGCCUGCCCGGUGCUGGAAGGUUAAGAGGACCUGUUAGACCCUUUGGGGUCGAAGCGGAGAAUUUAAGCCCCAGUAAACGGCGGUGGUAACUAUAACCAUCCUAAGGUAGCGAAAUUCCUUGUCGGGUAAGUUCCGACCUGCACGAAUGGCGUAACGACUCCCCUGCUGUCUCAACCACAGGCCCGGUGAAAUUGCAGUACGAGUAAAGAUGCUCGUUUCGCGCGGCAGGACGAAAAGACCCCGGGACCUUCACUAUAGCUUGGUAUUGGCAUUCGGUGCGGUUUGUGUAGGAUAGGUGGGAGACUGUGAAGCAUGCACGCUAGUGUGUGUGGAGUCGUUGUUGAAAUACCACUCUGACCGUAGUGGAUAUCUAACCUUGGCCCAUGAUCUGGGUUGGGGACAGUGCCUGGUGGGUAGUUUAACUGGGGCGGUUGCCUCCCAAAAUGUAACGGAGGCGCCCAAAGGUUCCCUCAGCCUGGUUGGCAAUCAGGUGUUCAGAGUGUAAGUGCACAAGGGAGCUUGACUGCGAGACUGACUAGUCGAGCAGGGACGAAAGUCGGGACUAGUGAUCCGGCACCUACUUGUGGAUGUGGUGUCGCUCAACGGAUAAAAGGUACCCCGGGGAUAACAGGCUGAUCUUCCCCAAGAGUCCAUAUCGACGGGAUGGUUUGGCACCUCGAUGUCGGCUCGUCGCAUCCUGGGGCUGGAGUAGGUCCCAAGGGUUGGGCUGUUCGCCCAUUAAAGCGGCACGCGAGCUGGGUUCAGAACGUCGUGAGACAGUUCGGUCUCUAUCCGCCGCGCGCGUUGAAACUUGAAGAAGGCUGUCCCUAGUACGAGAGGACCGGGACGGACGUACCUCUAGUGUGCCAGUUGUUCCGCCAGGAGCACGGCUGGUUGGCUACGUACGGAAGGGAUAACCGCUGAAAGCAUCUAAGCGGGAAGCCUGUUUUAAGAUGAGGUUUCAUUUGAGGUUCCCAGAAGACGACUGGGUUGAUAGGCCGGACCUGGAAGCACAGCAAUGUGUGGAGGCGACCGGUACUAAUACACCAAUAAACA